GACGAACGCUUUCUUCGUGCUUCCCCCCUGCACGUCGUCCGGAAAGGCCCUGCUUUUGUGGGGUGCUCGAGUGGCGAACGGGUGAGUAACACGUGAGUAACCUGCCCUUGACUUUGGGAUAACUUCAGGAAACUGGGGCUAAUACCGGAUAGGAGCUCCUGCUGCAUGGUGGGGGUUGGAAAGUUUCGGCGGUUGGGGAUGGACUCGCGGCUUAUCAGCUUGUUGGUGGGGUAGUGGCUUACCAAGGCUUUGACGGGUAGCCGGCCUGAGAGGGUGACCGGCCACAUUGGGACUGAGAUACGGCCCAGACUCCUACGGGAGGCAGCAGUGGGGAAUAUUGCACAAUGGGCGGAAGCCUGAUGCAGCAACGCCGCGUGCGGGAUGACGGCCGUCGGGUUGUAAACCGCUUUCGCCUGUGACGAAGCGUGAGUGACGGUAAUGGGUAAAGAAGCACCGGCUAACUACGUG
rnacentral:rRNA from 1 species